ACCCAGUGGCAGGCUCCGGCCACGGGAUGCGUGAAGAUCAAUGUGGACGCGGCCGCACCAAGGCAAGCCCGUUCCGGGGCUGUGGGUGCAAUCUGCAGAAGUUCAGAUGGUCUGUUUUUGGGAGCUUCGGCGCUGAUCAUAGAGCAUAUUGGGGACCCGGAAACGCUGGAGGCCAUGGCGAUCAGAGAAGGCCUUGCACUUGCGGAGGACUUGUACCAAAGGCGCAUUCAUGUUGCAUCGAUUUGCAAGAAGGCAGUAGACUCUCUGAAAAAGGAGGACGCAUCUCCAUAUGGUGCUAUUGUGCAUGAAAUAUUAAGCCAUUCUGCAACUUUUGAUAUGUGUAGGUUUAGCCAUGAGUUUAGGAGCUCAAAUUAUGAAGCUCACAACUUAGCGAAGCAUGCUUUAUCUCUCGGGGGUGGCCGCCGUGUAUGGUUAGGCCAUCCCGGAGAUCUUUCUUUCGUCCCUGUAAACAUUGUGACGAAUCAAUAA
rnacentral:rRNA from 1 species